GACGAACGCUGGCGGCGUGCUUAACACAUGCAAGUCGAACGAUGAAGUUCCUUCGGGAAUGGAUUAGUGGCGAACGGGUGAGAAACACGUGAGAAACCUGCCUUUCAUUUUGGGAUAACUCCGGGAAACCGGAGCUAACACCGAAUACUCCGUCUCGGCGGCAUCGCUGAGCCGGGAAAAAAUUAUGAUGAAAGAUGGUCUCGCGGCCGAUCAGCUAGUUGGUGAGGUAAUGGCUCACCAAGGCGACAACGGGUAGCCGGCCUGAGAGGGCGACCGGCCACACUGGGACUGAGACGCGGCCCAGACUCCUACGGGAGGCAGCAGUGGGGAAUAUUGGGCAAUGGGCGCAAGCCUGACCCAGCGACGCCGCGUGAGGGAUGAAGGCCUUCGGGUUGUAAACCUCUUUCAGUAGGGAAGAAGCGAAAGUGACGGUACCUAAAGAAGAAGCACCGGCUAACUAUGUGCCAGCCGCCGCCGUAA
rnacentral:rRNA from 1 species